UACAGAGGGGGCAAGCGUUGUUCGGAAUUACUGGGCGUAAAGGGCGCGUAGGCGGCCUUCUAAGUCGAACGUGAAAUCCCCGAGCUCAACUCGGGAACUGCGUCCGAUACUGGCGGGCUUGAAUCCGGGAGAGGGAUGCGGAAUUCCAGGUGUAGCGGUGAAAUGCGUAGAUAUCUGGAGGAACACCGGUGGCGAAGGCGGCAUCCUGGACCGGCAUUGACGCUGAGGCGCGAAAGCUAGGGGAGCAAACGGGG
rnacentral:rRNA from 1 species